AUACCUUUCUCGACCUUUUGGCUAAGAUCAAGUGUAGUAUUUGUUCUUAUCAAUUUAAGGGGGAUUGGAAAAGGAUCACCCAUGCCUAAAACAUCAAACACAACUCACUGGGAAUAUUAGACCUAAACUCAAGCAUGCUCUCAAUAAUAUUAAGAAAUAAACACAACAAGUUUUCCUUUUUAUUAGUUAUCC
rnacentral:snRNA from 1 species